rnacentral:pre_miRNA from 1 species
CCCAGCGACCCAGGGGAAGUGAAAGAUGGUGGACGGCGGAACAUGUGCUUCAUUCGAGCCAUAUGUCUGCCGACCAUCACCUUGAGAAGCCCCCUGUCGCUGA